ACCUCUGCUCUGCGCUUUACCCAGACUUGCUCGGCUGGGAUUGUACACCCUGUGGCGCUUGCAGACUGUUGGGGAAAUGAAAACCCCUGGAAACAUGCACUUCAUACACAGUGUGUUAUAUGGAAGACACCAAGAUCUACCAUGAACCGAGGCCUGGAAGGGAAAACUGAAUAGAGCAACUGUGGGUUCUGACAGCUCGCGGGUCGCAGGUAUGUUGUGAACGCUGACUACUGAAUCAGAUGCCUGCGCCCGUCUCUGUCUGGGCAUCAGGAACCGGCGUCAACACGAGACCUGGCCGCGGUGAAGGCUCAGUGAGGACUGCAGGACGCUGCGGCUGCCAGCUCUCCCUACGGCGCACAGGGGGCGCAGGUCGAGACAGGGCGUCCCAGCCCCCGCUCUCUCAGGAAGGCAAAGAAGGGGACCAGGCCGGCAGAGCCUCUCAGGGCAGAGCGGUGAGGAGACAGGGCCUCAGUCCUCCGGGUCCCUCCGGUGAGAGGCGGGCAGGCUCGGGUUCCGCCCCCUCCCAGGGCGGCAGUUCACAGCAUCGGCCGGCAGAGGGCAGCAGAGGCCAGCUCGUGGCAGACCAAGCCCAGGGCCUAGCGCAGAAGCGGGUCCUGGGCCUGAGUCCCGCUGGCUUCCCGGGUGCAGGCUCCACCAGGGAGAAGCAGCGGCCCUUCCUCUCUCUGGCUUGCCCUGGGGAGAGGGGCGAGAGGAGGCAAUUCCGAAAGCCCCUCAUUGUGCGGAGUGGCUUUUUCUUUCUUUUCUGCAUCACAUGCACUGAAUGCCAUUUUCCAAAGUGCUCCCAGAGGGGGCGGGCAGCCAGGUGAUUUCCCAGAAGCCGGAGGAAGAGCCACAGGACGCAAGGCCCACAUAGCUCAGGGGACUUCAGGAGGGCCACACCACUGCUGCUUACAGAACUCGGAGCUUCCUGCCUUGGCAGUCAUCCGGGGAGAAUUGUUACAGCACGGAUGCCUUAUCUGAUCUCUCCUUGGGAGCCUCCCUCCGCUCGCUCUGUGGGACUGAAGGGCUGGAGGCCUGUGCCAGUGUUAGCAAAACAUUUGGAGUCACCGAGCCUGCGACGAGAGUGGCACUGGAGCACUGGAGGUCGCAGUGCUGAGCAGGCUCUGCCUGCCUCGGCUCCCUGACCCUCAGCCAGUGUCCUCGGCUGUGAAGCAGAGGACAGACAGCCAUGGCAUGCUGUGAAUGCCCGACGUGCACCGUUGUAAUCUGUGCAGAGGCAGCAGUGAUGCCCAAGGUGGGUAUGGCAGUGUCACAGAAGGGACACGCAGACCCACGUACAUGCCUGGUGGGGGGUGGCGCGCUGGGCCACGGAGGGCCUGCUUAGCACUGCCCCCGCCCCUGGAUCUCGUGCCCCGUCCAGUCUCAGAGCCUGACGCCCAGUGAGCUGAACUCAGAGCACUCCCGGCCUUCUCCUCCUCGUCUUCCUGCAGCAGUGGUGCCGAAUCUACCAGACGACUCGGUCUGUCUCCACUGUGCCCUGGCUCUGGAUAAACCACGAAGGAGAGGGCACGGGGGACAGGAGGGACAGCAGGAGAGGCAAGGACCUCUGCAGGGAAUCUGAGUCCCUUAAGUACGUCAUCCCACAGAGAAAAGCCACCUGCAGUCUAUUCCAAGGGCUUUCAAAAUUACUUUAGAAGUGCAAGCAUUUACAGAAGCGGUGGCCCUGCUGAGCACCAAGCGACACAGCGGAGCAGGGCUCCUAACUAGCACCAUGGAACUGGGGAGCCAGACGGAAGAAUCCAGGCGAAAACAACUGCAGAAAAGAGGGUUGAGGGGCCCCGAGCAACUCUCCCUAAGACAGGCGACAGCAUCAUCGCCCCGAGCUGUUUCCGUACAGCCUGUUACCAUCAGCUCUGAAAAUCAGCCCAUUUUAAUACUGUAUGAGCUGAAAUCCUAUGUGCUCCAAAACAAGGUAACAGAGCCUGGAUCAAAGGACUUCGGACCCAGAGUAAUCUACCCACCUCCACUCGGCAGUUGAGUGACUUUUUCCUGGAAGAUAAGAGAUUUCCAACACGUAGGUGAAGUUUUUAUCUGUCGGUCUGGGGUCAGAACAGUAAAUCAUUAUAAUCUUUAAAAGUGAAGCUCAUAUACAUUUGUAAGUUAAUUGGAGUUGGAAAGAGUGUUCUCGAGUUUUAGGCACUCGGUCAUCAGAGGAGCCUUAUAUUGAGAGAGCUGAGUACCGAUAGCCUCAUUCGUCAAGAAACUUUUGCCAGGCAGCAUGGCACACGCUUGUAAUCCCAGCACCGAGGGAGGCAGAGGCAGGAGGAUCGGAAGUCCCAGCCCAUCUGAGCAACUUAGGGAGAUCCUGUCCCAAGAUAAAAAAUAAAAAGGAGGACUGCAGGGGUGUAGUUUAGUGGUGGGUGCCCGGAGCUCUACACUGAGCACCACGCACAGACACACGCCUGCGCACAAGCAGAAAGCGUCUGACGUAGGGAGGGGCGCAUGCCCUGACUGGGGCCUGUUCAGCUCUUAGCCCUAUGGGCCGAGCCAGUUUUCAUGUCUCCCGUGGGUUUGCUGUAGUGCUGGGGUCUCUCUCAUGGGUCCGCGUCGGUCAGAUACACACACACACACACACACACACACACACACACACACACACACACACACGUAUAAGGAAAAAGAUUUACCGAAGGAACCAUCUCCACGGCUUGGGGUCUGGAGAGUCUGAGAUUUGCAGGUGACUCCGAGCUGGAGACCAGGGAGACGCUGCAUGCGGGGCAUUUUCUCUGCUCAGGCCUACAGCGGCCUGGGAGAGGCCCCGCCCACUAGGAAAGGCCACCUGCUUUAUUCAAAGCCGUCCGUCCGGUAACACCCUGAGGGACAUGCCAAGAAAAACUGUGAGCAAGUACACGUGCUGGGGGCCAGCCAGGCAACCCGAGAACCAACCGUCCCAGCACUGCCACCCUCCUGGGCUGCACUGGCUCCUGGUGAAACCUAGCUGUGGGCUCGUGUGGC
ensembl:lncRNA